rnacentral:rRNA from 1 species
AACGAACGCUGGCGGCGUGCUUAACACAUGCAAGUCUUACGAGAAAGUUUCCUUCGGGGAACGAGUACAGUGGCGCACGGGUGAGUAACACGUGGGUAACCUACCCUUCAGAUUGGGAUAACAUUUCGAAGGGGAUGCUAAUACCGGAUACGUUCAUAGAAUCUUCGGGUUUUAUGAAGAAAGAUGGCCUCUAUACUAUGCUAUCACUGAUGGAUGGGCCCGCGGGACAUUAGCUAGUUGGUAGGGUAACGGCCUACCAAGGCGACGAUGUCUAGCUGGUCUGAGAGGAUGAUCAGCCACACUGGUACUGGAACACGGACCAGACUCCUACGGGAGGCAGCAGUGGGGAAUAUUGCGCAAUGGGGGAAACCCUGACGCAGCAACGCCGCGUGAGUGAUGAAGGCCUUCGGGUCGUAAAGCUCUGUCAGAGGGGAAGAAGGUAAUGGGGCAAAUAGUUCCAACUACUUGACGGUACCCUCAAAGGAAGCACCGGCUAACUCCGUGCCAGCAGCCGCGGUAAUACGGGGGGUGCAAGCGUUGUUCGGAAUUACUGGGCGUAAAGGGCGCGUAGGCUGUUGCCUAAGUCAGAUGUGAAAUCCCACGGCUUAACCGUGGAACUGCAUUUGAAACUGGGUGACUUGAGUACGGGAGAGGGAAGUGGAAUUCCAAGUGUAGAGGUGAAAUUCGUAGAUAUUUGGAGGAACACCAGUGGCGAAGGCGGCUUCCUGGACCGAUACUGACGCUGAGGCGCGAAAGCGUGGGGAGCAAACAGGAUUAGAUACCCUGGUAGUCCACGCUGUAAACGAUGUACACUAGGUGUUGCGGGUAUUGACCCCUGCAGUGCCGCAGCUAACGCAUUAAGUGUACCGCCUGGGGACUACGGUCGCAAGACUAAAACUCAAAGGAAUUGACGG